UGGAGGCGCCCGGUGAUUAGAAUCGGUGGACUAGCUCAGCCCUUACAGGUUACAAGAAUUUAAAGUGAUGAUUACCUUUUCUGAUUAUAAAAAUCAUCUAGGGCUGGGCGUGGUGGCUUACACCUGUAAUCCCAGCACUUUGGGAUGCCUAGGUGGGAAGAUCACCUAAGCCCAGGAGUUCGAGACCAGCCUGGGCAACAUGGUGAAACCCCGUCUCUACAAAAAAAUGUAAAAAAUAAGCCAGACUUGGUGGCACACACUUGUAAUCCCAGCUAGGAGGCUGAGGUGGGAGGAUCUCUUGAGCUGAGGAGGUGGAGGGUUGCAGUGAGCCAAGAUCCCGUCACUGCACCCCAGGCUGGGCAACAGAGUGAUACACUGUCUCAAAAAACAAAACAAAAAACUAGUCUAUUUACAUGGUCUCAGAUGAUCACAUACAUUAUUUAGAAAGGGAAAAUUAGUGACUUUGUAGAAUCACUGCUAGUGGCGAAACCUAGCUAAUCCCAUCUUAACUAAGCGAUGAAAGUUACUAUCACAGAUAAUGGAACAGACCAUAGAUGACUCAAUGGGAUGCACUGAAGAGGCAGCACCACUUCUGUGGUUCCAGGCAGGAAAACAUACAAGCUCAGUGUCAUCAUAAGGAAGCACCAGGCAAAUGCAAUUGAGGGACAGUCCACAAAUCUUCCAAAAUGUCAACAUCAGAAACUACAGAUGCCUGACAACACUGCAAUGCUGCAUGAUCCUGAAUUGAAUCUUUGAGGGUGUGGGGGUUGCUAUAAAGGAUGUUAUUGGGCCAGUUGAAUAUGGCCUAUGGAAUAAGGAAUAAGUAAUUGAUCCAUGUUAGAUUUCCUGAUUUUGAUAAUGAUAUCAGAGUUACAUAAUAGAAUGUCCUUGUUCUUAGCAGACAUACAGUAAAGAGUAUAGGGGUAAAGGGGCAUGACAUCUCUAAUCCACUCUGAUAUGGUUUAGAAAAUAAUAGUGUACGUGCAUAUAAAAAUAUAUAUACACACACACAUGAACACGCAGGUAAGGUAUAAUAAAGUAAAUAUGCAAAAAU
rnacentral:lncRNA from 1 species